rnacentral:tRNA from 1 species
AAAGAAGUUAGUUAAAAAAAUAACAUUGAAUUGUCAAAUCAAAAUUAAUAUAUUUAUUUCUU